rnacentral:rRNA from 1 species
UACGUAGGGUCCGAGCGUUGUCCGGAGUUACUGGGCGUAAAGCGCGCGCAGGCGGCGGUGUUGGCCCGGCGUGAAAAGCCCCCGGCUCAACCGGGGAGAGUCGUCGGGGACCGCACCGGCGUUGAGGGCGGUAGGGGCUGGUGGGAAUGCCUGGUGUAGUGGUGAAAUGCGUAGAGAUCAGGCAGAACACCUGGGGCGAAGGCGGCCAGCUGGGCCGUCCCUGACGCUGAGGCGCGAAGGCGUGG